GCUAGCUAAAAAUUAAUUUAAAUUAAUCUUCGAACCCAGUUUUUUUCCAAAUUGCAUUUCUCACCAUUCUCAAAUCUCUGCCCUUCAGCGUUCUUCCGAUCCCUUCGUGAACCGAAAACGAAUCGCCUCGCCGUCGCGCCAAAUACUCAUGCGGCGGCGCCCGCUGAAUGUCGUCAUCAUCGUCAUCGCUAUCGUCGAAAUCCUCCUCCGCUACUUCUCUCCGGCCGUGAUUGUUCUGAUCGUUCUGCAGAAUCUUCGACCAGUCCGGAAUAUUGACUGGCAAUGACGAAGAUGCCUUCACCGCCUUCUCCGCCGCCGUCGCAGGGCCACUCCUCUUGGGAAGUUUCUUGGAGAUCGGAAAGAUUUUCCUCGAUUCCGACGGCGGAGUUGGACCGGAGGUCCAGAUAUCCGCCUCGUCGAAUUCGAAGAGGCCAUCGGGAGAAGAUUCAGGACGGCGAACUGUUUCCUCCGAGGCCGGAUAGAUGUAGUUAGACUUGGAGUGAAAACCAAAUCCGAAUCCUAAGCCUCUCCUUGACGCCAUUGAAAAUCGAUCGAUGCUUUCGAGUUUCAGAUCUUCUUCCUGUUCUUCUUUGUGAUUGAAUUGAAUUGAAUUCAACUGCUGUGAAGGAAUCAAAGUCUCUAAUAAUUUUGAGUUUUGGCCCACCUGUUUUAUAAUGGUUUUAAUGGAUAAGUUCACGCUUCUCCCCU
rnacentral:misc_RNA from 1 species